ACUCCUACGGGAGGCAGCAGUGGGGAAUAUUGCACAAUGGGCGCAAGCCUGAUGCAGCCAUGCCGCGUGUAUGAAGAAGGCCUUCGGGUUGUAAAGUACUUUCAGCAGUGAGGAAGGCGGGUACGUUAAUAGCGUGCUUGUUUGACGUUAGCUGCAGAAGAAGCACCGGCUAACUCCGUGCCAGCAGCCGCGGUAAUACGGAGGGUGCGAGCGUUAAAUCGGAAUUACUGGGCGUAAAGCGCAUGCAGGUGGUUUGUUAAGUCAGAUAGUGAAAGCCCGGGGCUCAACCUCGGAAUUGCAUUUGAAACUGGCAGACUAGAGUACUGUAGAGGGGGGUAGAAUUUCAGGUGUAGCGGUGAAAUGCGUAGAGAUCUGAAGGAAUACCGGUAGGCGAAGGCGGCCCCCUGGACAGAUACUGACACUCAGAUGCGAAAAGCGUGGGGAAGCAAACAGGAUUAGAUACCCUGGUAGGAUAGCG
rnacentral:rRNA from 1 species